GGAAGAAGGAUUUAACUUUCGAUGUUCGUGAGAGCAUCCGUGAUUGAUCGGACUUUGAAAAUCAAUGACGAACAUAGGUACUUAGCAAGCUGUGAAAGAUAAAUUUGCAUGAUAUUUUUAUUUGAUUGACACUUUAUUGAUAAAUGACAGCACUUGAGAACCGGUCACGGGCUAUAAAAACUGUGUACAUGAGUCAAUUGAAGCAUGUAGAAAAGGCAA
rnacentral:lncRNA from 1 species